CCUACGUGAGGCAGCAGUGAGGAAUAUUGGUCAAUGGACGGAAGUCUGAACCAGCCAUGCCGCGUGCAGGAAGACGGCUCUAUGAGUUGUAAACUGCUUUUGUACAAGGGUAAACCUUAAUCCGUGUAUUCAGCUUCAAGUACUGUACGCAUAAGGAUCGGCUAACUCCGUGCCAGCAGCCGCGGUAAUACGGAGGAUCCAAGCGUUAUCCGGAUUUAUUGGGUUUAAAGGGUGCGUAGGCGGAUUGAUAAGUGAGAGGUGAAAUGUCCGAGCUUAAAUCGGGAACUGCCUCUAAUACGGUUGAUCUAGAGAGUAGAUGCGGUAGGCGGAAGGUAUGGUGUAGCGGUGAAAUGCUUAGAGAGCAUACAGAACACCGAUUGCGAAGGCAGCUUACCAAUCUAUAUCUGACGUUGAGGCACGAAAGCGUGGGGAGCAAACAGGAUUAGAUACCCUUGUAGUC
rnacentral:rRNA from 1 species